UAUGAAGGGGGCUAGCGUUGCUCGGAAUUAUUGGGCGUAAAGCGCACGUAGGCGGCUUGGCAAGUCGGAUGUGAAAUCCCUCGGCUCAACCAAGGAAGUGCAUCCGAAACUGCUGAGCUUGAGUACGAAAGAGGAUCGCGGAAUUCCCGGUGUAGAGGUGAAAUUCGUAGAUAUCUGGAGGAACACCGGUGGCGAAGGCGGCAUCCUGGACCGGUAUUGACGCUGAGGCGCGAAAGCCAGGGGAGCAAACGGG
rnacentral:rRNA from 1 species